UCUCUGGUAGUAUAUCGGUUAGUACACGCGCCUGUCAUCACUGACACAUCGAUAUAUGCGCGCGAAAGCUGGGUUCGACUCCCAGCCAGAGAG